GAAACAAAAUUGAAACAGACUCACAGAUUGCAGACAGGCCUCUGGAAUAGUGUCCUCUGGGAUAUUGUUUAUCCCCAGGAAGAGGAAAUUAUGGUAUACAUCUCUCAAAGAUACUUAUUUCUGCCCUGGCUGGUUUGGCCCAGCAGUUAGAGCAUCGGCCUAUGGAUGGAAGGGUUGC